rnacentral:rRNA from 1 species
GAAGGUAGCGUAAUCACUUGUUCUUUAAAUGAGGACUAGUAUGAAUGGCACCACGAGGGUUAAACUGUCUCCUUUUUUUGAUCAGUGAAACUAAUCUUCCCGUGAAAAAGCGGGAAUUUAUUUAUAAGACGAGAAGACCCUAUGGAGCUUUAAACAAACUAACAUACGCUAUCAACUUUUAACCUUCAGAGCCAAAAUAAAAAUAUAGCAAUCUGAUUAUAAGUUUUCGAUUGGGGUGAUCACGGAGUAAAAAACAACCUCCACGUCGAACGGAUUAAACUCCUGAACAAAAAGCUACAACUUUAUGUACUAAUACAUUAACGCCUUUGACCCAUUUUUUGAUCAACGAACCAAGUUACCCUAGGGAUAACAGCGCAAUCUACUUUGAGAGCCCCUAUCGACAAGUGGGUUUACGACCUCGAUGUUGGAUCAGGGUAUCC